UCCUCGGCAGGCGGACACCUCUGAGAUACUGGGGAGAUGAGUGGAGAGCAUUGUUCCUGUCUGGCUCCUGAUCUGGAAGGGGCAGAUUUCAACAUUUAACAACAGAUAGGAUUUUGUUCUGUCUUUGUUCUGUCUCACUUUGUUUUGUUCUGCCUCCUGUCAGAUUUAGGACAUUCCCUUUUCCUCCAGGUACACGAGUUGAUUCUGUGUGUCUGGUGAGGUUUGUCUCAGAUUCACUCUUCUGAGACAGCAGACUCUUCUGAUACCAGCACCUUGCGGUCAUGACUAUCCUGUUGAAGGCCCCUACUUUUUCUGGAGUCUAGAAGUCCAACACCAUGGGAGAAUUUGGCUCCUUCUCUGCCUCUUCUAGCUCCUGGAGCUGCUGCUGAUGGCUGUCUUUCCCUGGUUCGUGGUGCCUCAUUCCAUCUUCAUGCAGUCUUCUCAGCGGUGUGUAAAACUUCAGCACUGCCUCAAGUGAACAGGAAACGCUUACAUUUCAAGGCCACUGACUGGAGCCCAUUUACACGUCAUGAGGGAACACUCGCCAGCUCCCUUUUCGGUCAAGGAAACAGUGAUGGAGCAGCAUCUCCUUGCCCUGUCUCUCCGUCAGUCUUUCUGUUCUGCAGAUCAGCUGGCCUGGCUUCUGCAGCAGGAUGAAAAGGUGCCCUGGGAGAUGUCCCAGGGAGCUAGUGAAUACCAAUACUCUUUCCCUCUCUGUAUGUAAAAUCCCCUUUUUAGUGGACAGACCUAUUAGUUGAUGGAAGUAUUGACAUUUUUAUGGGAUUGCUUUUGGAAAAGGCUAACACGUAAUUCUAAAUUCAA